rnacentral:rRNA from 1 species
GGUCAGCGAUGACCCCUGAUCCCUUCCCGAACUCAGAAGUGAAACGACGCAUCGCCGAUGGUAGUGUGGGGUCUCCCCAUGUGAGAGUAGGU